GACAGAGGUGCCAAGCGUUAGGCGGAAUCACUGGGCUUAAGCGUGUGUAGGCGGAAUGGUAAGUACCUUGUGAAAUCCCACGGCUCAACCGUGGAACUGCUGGGUAUACUGCUUUUCUUGAGCCACUUAGGGGCUGUCGGAACAAACGGUGGAGCGGUGAAAUGCGUAGAUAUCGAGAGGAACACCGGUGGCGAAGGCGGCCUUCUGGACAGUGACUGACGCUGAGACGCGAAAGCGUGGGGAGCAAACAGG
rnacentral:rRNA from 1 species